rnacentral:rRNA from 1 species
UACGGAGGGUGCGAGCGUUGUCCGGAAUCAUUGGGCGUAAAGGGCGCGUAGGUGGCCCGGUCAGUUCGUGGUGAAAGCGCGGGGCUCAACCCUGCGUCGGCCAUGAAUACUGCCGCGGCUGGAGCACUGUAGAGGCAGGCGGAAUUCCCGGGUGUAGCGGUGGAAUGCGUAGAGAGUCCGGAAGAACACCGGUGGCGAAGGCGGCCUGCUGGGCAGUUGCUGACACUGAGGCGCGACAGCGUGGGGAGCAAACAGG